UACAGAGCCACGAGCGUUAGGCGGAAUCACUGGGCUUAAAGCGUGUGUAGGUGGAUGGGUAAGUACCUUGUGAAAUCCCACGGCUCAACCGUGGAACUGCUUGGUAUACUGCCUGUCUUGAGGCACUCAGGGGUGAGCGGAACAGAUGGUGGAGCGGUGAAAUGCGUAGAUAUCAUCUGGAACACCAAUGGUGAAGACAGCUCGCUGGGGGGUGUACUGACACUGAGACACGAAAGCCAGGGGGAGCAAACGGG
rnacentral:rRNA from 1 species